rnacentral:lncRNA from 1 species
GGUGAUUUAUAGCCUGUCGAUGGUCGUCGUCGUCGCCAGAUCCUAAAGCCUGUCCCCAGACCUCAGACACACGGAUACCAACGAGAGAGAGAGAUAGAGACACUGAGACCCCCGCCCCGACCACAGCAGGACAGACUGGUGCCACGCCGUCGGUCGCUCGUCGUCCCUGAGCUAAUGUACGCGUCUCUUCAGAUGCCGCGGAUUAGAUAAAAAUUCUCAAUUUAUGCGUUGCGCCAGUUGCCAAUUGCAUGCCCCCAUGCCCAAC